rnacentral:rRNA from 1 species
AGUGAACGCUGGCGGUAGGCCUAACACAUGCAAGUCGAACGGCAGCACAGUAAGAGCUUGCUCUUACGGGUGGCGAGUGGCGGACGGGUGAGGAAUACAUCGGAAUCUACUUUUUCGUGGGGGAUAACGUAGGGAAACUUACGCUAAUACCGCAUACGACCUACGGGUGAAAGCAGGGGAUCUUCGGACCUUGCGCGAUUGAAUGAGCCGAUGUCGGAUUAGCUAGUUGGCGGGGUAAAGGCCCACCAAGGCGACGAUCCGUAGCUGGUCUGAGAGGAUGAUCAGCCACACUGGAACUGAGACACGGUCCAGACUCCUACGGGAGGCAGAAGUGGGGAAUAUUGGACAAUGGGCGCAAGCCUGAUCCAGCCAUACCGCGUGGGUGAAGAAGGCCUUCGGGUUGUAAAGCCCUUUUGUUGGGAAAGAAAAGCAGCAGGUUAAUACCCCGCUGUUCGGACGGUACCCAAAGAAUAAGCACCGGCGAACUUCGU